rnacentral:rRNA from 1 species
CUACGGGUCGCUCCAGUGGGGGAUAUUGCACAAUGGAGGAAACUCUGAUGCAGCGACGCCGCGUGAGUGAAGAAGUAUUUCGGUAUGUAAAGCUCUAUCAGCAGGGAAGAAAGUCCCGUAAGGGAGAUGACGGUACCUGACUAAGAAGCCCCGGCUAACUGACGUGCCAGCAGCCGCGGUAAUACGUAGGGGGCAAGCGUUAUCCGGAUUUACUGGGUGUAAAGGGAGCGCAGACGGUGAUGCAAGUCUGAAGUGAAAACCCACGGCUCAACCGUGGGCUUGCUUUGGAAACUGUAUGACUAGAGUGUCGGAGGGGUAAGCGGAAUUCCUGGUGUAGCGGUGAAAUGCGUAGAUAUCAGGAAGAACACCGGUGGCGAAGGCGGCUUACUGGACGACAACUGACGUUGGGGCUCGAAGGCGUGGGGAGCAAACAGGAUUAGAUACCCCCGUAGUC